rnacentral:lncRNA from 1 species
CUCGAGAGGAGCCCGUGGGCUGCUGGACCGGACCGGACAGCACCAGGAAGCCCGGCAGGGACAGUGAGCUGAUAACUGUUCCCAGGCCAUGUAGGUGGCCAGCACAGGACAGGUCACCUUCUGGCCCACAGGAACUUCUUGCCCAGGCUCAAGCUGCCCCUUCGCACAAGGGCCUCUGGGCUCUGAGACACAGACAGGACUUCGAAGCCUGUCCAGAUGAGGCAGUUGGAAUCUCCCCAGCUUGUGGGGAGUCUUGCUCUGUCACCCAGGCUGGAGUGCACUGUUGUGAUCUUGGCUCACUGCGACCUCUGCCUCCUGGUUCAAGCGAUCUUCCCACCUCAGCCUCCUGAAUAGCUGGAACUAUAGUCACACGCCACCACACCCGGCUGAGAGAAUUCUGCCAGAUAUCAGGACAGAUGGGGAACAGCAGAAGCCGUGUGGGGCGGAGCUUUUGUUCACAGUUUCUUCCUGAGGAACAGGCAGAGAUUGAUCAAUUGUUUGAUGCUCUGUCAUCAGAUAAAAACAGCCCGAAUGUCUCAUCCAAAUCCUUCU